AGGUGGAGGAGGGUUACCCGAGCAACGGACAAGCUCAGCUGUUGUCGGUGCGGAGGGACGGACGACCUGUGGACACGUGUGGACUGAAGCCUCAGAAACGUGUCCUCCGUCUCAGUGACUGGUUAAUCUUUCUCUCUACUUGUCCUCUCAUCUGAUGGACGCUGUUUAUUUCUUCAUGUGUCCACUAGAUGUCGACUGGUGUUGUUGUUGGUUUGUCAUGUGCCCUGUUGUGAUUUCUCUGUCAAAGUUUUCAUGUGUAAAUAAAGUUUGAGUGAGUUUGA